rnacentral:rRNA from 1 species
UAGGAAUCUUCCGCAAUGGGCUAAAGCCUGACGGAGCAACGCCGCGCGAGUGAUGAAGGUCUUCGGAUUGUAAAACUCUGUUAUUAGGGAAGAACAAAUGUGUUAGUAACUAUUCACGUCUUGACGGUACCUAAUCAGAAAGUCACGGCUAACUACGUGCCAGCAGCCGCGGUAAUACGUAGGUGGCAAGCGUUUUCCGGAAUUAUUGGGCGUAAAGCGCGCGUAGGCGGUUUUUUAAGUCUGAUGUGAAAGCCAACGGCUCAACCGUGGAGGGUCAUUGGAAACUGGAAAACUUGAGUGCAGAAGAGGAAAGUGGAAUUCCAUGUGUAGCGGUGAAAUGCGCAGAGAUAUGGAGGAAAACCAGUGGCGAAGGCGACUUUCUAGUCUGUAACUGACGCUGAUGUGCGAAAGCGUGGGGAUCAAACAGG